CUCGUAGGCGGCCAACUAAGUCAGACGUGAAAUCCCUCGGCUUAACCGGGGAACUGCGUCUGAUACUGGAUGGCUUGAGGUUGGGAGAGGGAUGCGGAAUUCCAGGUGUAGCGGUGAAAUGCGUAGAUAUCUGGAGGAACACCGGUGGCGAAGGCGAGUCCCUGGACAACACCUGACACUGAGGCACGAAAGCUAGGGGAAGCAAACA
rnacentral:rRNA from 1 species